AACGAACGCUGGCGGCAUGCCUAACACAUGCAAGUCGAACGAGACCUUCGGGUCUAGUGGCGCACGGGUGCGUAACGCGUCGGAACCUGCCCUUAGGUUCGGAAUAACUCUCCGAAAGGGGUGCUAAUACCGGAUAAUGUCUUCGGACCAAAGAUUUAUCGCCUUUGGAUGGGCCCGCGUUGGAUUAGCUAGUUGGGAGGGUAAAGGCCUACCAAGGCGACGAUCCAUAGCUGGUCUGAGAGGAUGAGCAGCCACACUGGGACUGAGACACGGCCCAGACUCCUACGGGAGGCAGCAGUGGGGAAUAUUGGACAAUGGGCGAAAGGCUGAACCAGCACUGCCGCGUGAGUGAUGAAGGUCGUAGAGUAGUAAAGCUCUUUUACCCGGGAUGAUAAUGACAGUACCGGGAGAAUAAGCACCGGCUAACUCCGUG
rnacentral:rRNA from 1 species